UGGGGAAUAUUGCACAAUGGAGGGAACUCUGAUGCAGCGACGCCGCGUGAGUGAAGAAGUAUUUCGGUAUGUAAAGCUCUAUCAGUAGGGAAGAUAAUGACGGUACCUACAUAAGAAGCCCCGGCUAAAUACGUGCCAGCAGCCGCGGUAAUACGUAGGUGGCAAGCGUUGUCCGGAAUUAUUGGGCGUAAAGCGCGCGCAGGUGGUUUAGAAAGUCUGAUGUGAAAGCCCACGGCUCAACCGUGGAGGGUCAUUGGAAACUAAUAAACUUGAGUGCAGGAGAGAAAAGUGGAAUUCCAUGUGUAGCGGUGAAAUGCGUAGAGAUUAGGAGGAACACCGGUGGCGAAAGCGGCUUUUUGGCCUGCAACUGACACUGAGGCGCGAAAGCGUGGGGAGCAAACAGG
rnacentral:rRNA from 1 species